rnacentral:misc_RNA from 1 species
AGGGUUCAUUUUCUUCUUUUGCUGCUCCAAUUGUAGGGAUUCUUGCUGAGAAAAUGUACGGUUAUGAUUCCAAAUCUGUUGAUCCGAUAUUAGGAUCUCCAAGGGAGGCUUUAGCGCUGUCAAAAGGUCUCUUUUCAAUGAUGGCCGUGCCUUUUGGUUUAUGUUGCUUGUUUUACACCCCUUUGUAUUGGACAUUCAAGCAGGACCGUGAGAAUGCAAGACUUGCUGCUGCAAAAGAAACAGAGAUGAUAUGACGUUCUUUGUUUAUUCAUUCUUCUUGGAUCUUUGGGCUCAUCUGAGAAAAUGCUGCUGCAGCCUGUAGGCCAAAACAACACUGUUCCCUUCUAAUUUUGCAGAUAUUUCAUUUGGUGGUUAGCACUAGGACGGCAGAUUAAGUCUCCAUUACACUUAUAUUAUCUAACAGAUCAUACUCAAAAUUCAAACAUGUAUAGAUGCUGCUGUUGCCUGCCAUCAUCAGGCACUCCAACAUUGAAGUAGUUGCUUCGGCAUUGGCACACUGACAGGGUUACCUGUUUGUCUAUGUUUUUACAUGUAAAUCCUGCCAUUUUUGAAGUAACAAGAAAACUGCAG